CUACGGGUCGCUCCAGUGGGGAAUAUUGCACAAUGGGCGCAAGCCUGAUGCAGCAACGCCGCGUGAGGGACGAAGGCCUUCGGGUUGUAAACCUCUUUUAGCAGGGAAGAAGCGAAAGUGACGGUACCUGCAGAAAAAGCACCGGCUAACUACGUGCCAGCAGCCGCGGCAAUAGGUAGGGUGCAAGCGUUGUCCGGAAUUAUUGGGCGUAAAGAGCUCGUAGGCGGUUUGUCACGUCUGCUGUGAAAUUUCGAGGCUCAACCUCGAACUUGCAGUGGGUACGGGCAGGCUAGAGUGCGGUAGGGGAGAUGGGAAUUCCUGGUGUAGCGGUGGAAUGCGCAGAUAUCAGGAGGAACACCAAUGGCGAAGGCACAUCUCUGGGCCGUAACUGACGCUGAGGAGCGAAAGCGUGGGGAGCGAACAGGAUUAGAUACCCGGGUAGUC
rnacentral:rRNA from 1 species